UAACCUACCACUCAGAGGGGGAUAACACUUGGAAACAGGUGCUAAUACCGCAUAACAGUUUAUGCCGCAUGGCAUAAGAGUGAAAGGCGCUUUCGGGUGUCGCUGAUGGAUGGACCCGCGGUGCAUUAGCUAGUUGGUGAGGUAACGGCUCACCAAGGCCACGAUGCAUAGCCGACCUGAGAGGGUGAUCGGCCACACUGGGACUGAGACACGGCCCAG
rnacentral:rRNA from 1 species